rnacentral:lncRNA from 1 species
GCAAAUUCUACAGGUUCUUAUCAGUCAGUGUUUUGAGCUGAUCUUGAACACAGUGGGGCAUCCAGGCACAGGUAUGAGUAUUGGGUAUCAAACAGAUCUGAAAGCAGCUCAUCUCCCCCACAGAUGCUCACUAUGAGCAGAGCCAGGUUGACACAGGCACUUAGAGCUGUAGGCAUCCUGUAGGCUCCCAGUGGCAGGGCUGUGGGAAGUCCCAGGGGGGCAGGCAGAAGUAUUUUUAUGCCUACAAUGGGAUUGUGGCAGUGAUUUGUCAUGAGGCUCUAAAAUUAUUCACCCUUGGUCAUCUUCUUUUUUUGUUGUUGUUGAGAUGGGGUCUUACUAUGUUGUCCAGGUUGAUCUCGAAUUCCUGGCCUCAAGGGAUCCUCCUGCCUUGGCCUCCCAAAGUGCUGAGAUUACAGGGAAGAACCACAAGUACCCAGCCCACCCUUGGUCCUUGAAGGAAGAUAGAAUGCCAGAGAGUUGUCUAAGGAGGGCCCACCACGACCAGCUGCAGCACCCAGGCAGAUAAAAUUAUCAAACAGAGAAAGAAACAAAGAUUUCUUCCACAAACAGAACUGGCCCUGAAACCCUCCUGAAACUGGCAGACAGGAGGAAAGCAAGGCGGAGGAUGCUGGGAUAUGAACUGUCUCACUGUCAUGAGACCAUUGCCAGUUUCUCUUGCAGCCCGAGCAGAUGAGGCAGCACUUUCGGGGACAGGCUAAUCUCUCCCCUGCCUUGGAGCGGGGCAUUCCCAAGUCACAGACACUGUACGAGUACACCCCAUGACAGGGAAACCUCUCUCUCUCUAACAGGAAAGUGCUUCUUCUGCUCUGGCUGAAGCAGAUUCUCUCUGUCGGAACUAAGUAUGCAUGAUAUAGCUAUUGGGAUAUAAUAACCAUCCAUUCUGGAAAAAUAACAAAAGGCUUUUAUGCAACUCCAAUUCUGUGAACUUUGACUAAAUUUGAUUCCCAGUGUAUCAAGACUCCCACAAAGCGGUUUCAUGGAAACUUUCAGAGUUCUUGCCCACCACCAGAGGCCAUCUCCACUGCGUCCAGCCAGAUAGAAGAGAUAGUUCCAGAUCCUUCCACGUGGGCUCAUAGAGGGAACUGGGGACCCGGGGAGGGUGUCAGAGGGCUCAGAUUUGACUUGGUUUAGACGUGACCCCGCAGAUUGCCAGUUUUCUCACCUGGAUUCUAUCUACCCGCUCUGUGGAAUGCAGAGCAAUUGCACCUGGGUGAAGGUUAGUGAGCCCAAGUGCAUGAGGCAGCACUGUGGGCUUUCCCUGGGUCUGAAGAAGCCCGAGGACCGGUGUUACGGUCCCUGAGUUCUCAGCCCACCCCAGGCCCUGCAGCGCUGUGGAAGAUGCUCCUCCCCUGGCUUUGCUUAGGGAUAGAUCUGAGGUCACCCAGGGACCCACAGCUGCAUCCUCCGCAGCGUUCUGACUAACCCUGAGUCAAGUGUUAGGGCUCAGAAAAGCUUCAACAAUAAAAAUAGCUCCAGGAAAGUGGCAGCUUCAAUUCUUCGUGCCUUCGUGUGGGUGAAUGCCUCCUUCCACACCACUCACUGGGAGGCUCUUGGAAAGCACAUCUGAAACUCCAAAUGAAAAGAACAGAUCCAGUUAACUCUCCCAGACUUAGGGGUAAAAACUGAAGCUCAGAACCAUUGUAAUUGUUAAAUGAUGGCAGCUUGUUCUGGUGGCCUGGCAGCCCCUUCUCUGGAGUAGCUGGGCUGUACAUUGAGUUGAGACAUUGUCCGCAGAGGACUUUUUAGAUGGACUGGAGAUGACCAAUCUGGAGGACAAAGAGCUGAGACCUGGUAGCAGAGCCCAGAGACCCAACAGGCUCACCUGACGUGAGGUUGGCUAUAAACGUGAGUCCUAGAGAAGGGAGCUGGGCUCACUGUCCAGGCCCUCUGCCAUCUGGAGCUGCUCUCCUGGUGCCCUUGGGGUGGCCCCAAGGAAGGUGCUCGGCUUUUGGCUCCAGGAUUCCAUUAAGAGCAAAGGAGAGGCCGGGCACAGUGGCUCAUGCCUGUAAUCCCAGCACUUUGGGAGGCUGAGGAGGGUGGAUCAUGAGGUCAGGAGAUCUAGAUCAUCCUGGCUAACAUGGUGAAACCCCGUGUGUAUUAAAAAUUAGCUGGGCGUGGUGGUGGGUGCCUGUAGUCCCAGCUACUUGGGAGGCUGAGGCAGGAAAAUGGCGUGAACCCAGGAGGCAGAGCUUGCAGUGAGCUGAGAUCGCUCCACUGCACUCCAGCCUGGGCGACAGAGCAAGACGCCAUCUCAAAAAAAAAAAAAAAAAAAAAAAAAGCAAAGGAGAGGUGAGACCUCCAUGCUAUUGAGGAGGAACCCUCUGACACUGUGACUCUUUUAGGAUUUUCAGCCCAGGAAAAGAAAAAAAGAAAAGCAUGCUUGUGACAGUAUAAGAUUCUAUUUCAGGACAAGAAACAGUAUUUUGGGUGAAUCUAAGGAAGUCAUUUUGUCAAGUUUCAGACAGAAGCCACAACAACAACAACAAAAAUUUAAAUAGAGAGCCCAAGAGGGUUGGCAUGGCCUCAUCAAGAAGAGGUUUGCCUCGGAAUCUUCCAUAAAAAGCCAGAAAAGCAGCACAAAGUGCGGACCAGCGGGAGCACAUGCCAUAGUUAUCAGAGCAUGCCCUGCUGGCCGCCUUCCCCACCCAGAAAACACAUUUGGCUUCAGACACCAAGGAUACAGGGGACAGAGAAAGACAGAAACAGAGAGAAGCUCGGAAAAUAACUCUACAUUGUAUUCAUCCUUACUGAGUGCUUACCACAGAUCAAGACGUUCUGCUAGCUCCUGGGACAAAAAGACAUUCUAAUUUUUCACUGCUAAGGGGCUUUUUUUUUUUUUUUUUUUUUUCUUGAGACAGAGUCUCACUCUGUCACCCAGGUUGGAGUGCAGUGUUAUAAUCUCAGCUCACUGCAACCUCUGCCUCCCAGGUUCAAGCAAUUAUCCUUCCUCAGCUUCCUGAGUAGCUGGGAUUACAGGUGCACACGCCAGCACGGCCAGCUAAUUUUUGUAUUUAUUGUGUGUUUUAGUAGAGACAGGGCUUUGCCAUGUUGGCCAGGCUGGUCUUGAACUCCUGACCUCACAUGACCCCCUGCCUUGGCCUCCCAAAGCACCGGGAUUAUGGGUGUGAGCCACUGUGCCCGGCCUAAUUUUUGUAUUUUUAGUAGAGACAAGGUUUCACCAAGUUGGCUAGGCUGGUCUCGAACUCCUGACCUCAAGUGAUCCACCCGCUUUGGCCUCCCAAAGUGCUGGGAUUACAGGUGUGAGCCACCGUGCCUGGCCUGCAACUUUUGAUUUUAAUCCCAACAGUCCACUAUUAUGAACAGCUACUCUGGGCUGGCUACUGUUAUGAAACCCGUUGCCUCAUUUCAUCCCCAUGACAAAGCUAUGAACUAACCUGCCCUGGACAUUGGAUAGGAGCAUGGACAUUGUGUUAGUUCAUUCUUGCACUGCUAUGAAGAACGACCUGAGACUGGGUAAUGCAUAAGCAAAGAGGUUUAAUUGGCUCAUGGUUCUGCAGGCUGGACAGUAAGCAUAGCAGCCUCUGCCUCUGGAGAGACCUCAGGAAGCUUCCAAUCGUGGUGGAAGGCUAAGGAGACUCAGGCACAUCUCAAGGCUAAAGCAGGAGCAAGAGAAUGAGAAGGGAGGUGCCACACACUUUUAAAUGACCAGAUCUCUCAAGAACUCACUCACUAUUGCGAGAACAGUACCAAGGAGAUGGUACUAAACCAUUCCAUUCAUGAGAACUCCACUCACGAUCCAGUCACCUCCCACCAGGCCUCACCUCCAAAACUUGGGAUUACAAUUGAACAAGAAGUUUGGGUGUGGACACAGGUCCAAGCCAUAUCAACAUUAGAGCCAGAUCAGGCUUCAAAGCCAGCCUUGGCCACUUAUUUGCUGUGUGGCCUUGGAUGAUUUGCUUGACCUCUCUGUGGCUCAGUUUCUUCAUCUAUAAAAUAAAAGUAGUACCCAUGUCUACCUUGUGAGAUUGUUGUGAUGAUUACGUUAGUAUAUAUAAAA